AGACAUCAACUAGGAAAAAAUUUCAUUGCGGAACAAGAAUUAAAAAAGAACUUGGUAAUACCUCUGAGUCUAUAUACUCAUGAAGAACCGCAAAUAGUUGAAAUCCCAAGGCAUCGAAUAGAGGUUUUCUUGCAUAGAGUUGCAACAUCAAAGCAUUUUUAUGUAUUCACUUUAAUAGGCUAAUCAAGUUAGAAGAAUAAUUGUGCCAAGAUGUCGGUACAAAAUGUUUACCCAGGACGUCGGAUGCAAAGGAGAACAGCUGGCUUUUCUCGCCAUAACUCUAGAGCCUUCAUUGGAGGUGUCUUGGUUUUCACCAAGCGUUCCAUGCCAAUCUUGUAUUCAGGGACACAGUUUGUGACGGAGGCGUGGGAUCUGUGCAUGCACUUGUUCUGUCCACAAAUCGUGCUAUAUGACCUCUCUUCAUACCAAAUUGGGAAGACAGAUCCCCUGAACUUAGGUUAAGCAGCUGGGGCAAAUGUUUUCCAGAGGCCUCUAACACAUCUCCAUAUUGCAUCAAGGCCCGAUCAUGCAGGUUUUAGUGAAGGGAAACAAAACAGUGAUUGUGUAAACAACCAACCUUUUGUUGUUGUGACAUAUUUAUUUCAUCCAUAUCUUCUGAGU